CUACGGGCUGCAGCAGUGGGGAAUAUUGGACAAUGGGCGCAAGCCUGAUCCAGCAAUGCCGCGUGAGUGAAGACGGCCUUAGGGUUGUAAAACUCUUUCGCUAGGGAAGAUAAUGACUGUACCUAGUAAAGAAGUCCCGGCUAACUCCGUGCCAGCAGCCGCGGUAAUACGGAGGGGACUAGCGUUGUUCGGAAUUACUGGGCGUAAAGAGUUCGUAGGCGGACUGACAAGUUAGAGGUGAAAUCCCAGGGCUCAACCCUGGAACUGCCUUUAAAACUGUCAGUCUAGAGACCGGAAGAGGUUAGGGGAAUACCUAGUGUAGAGGUGAAACUCGUAGAUAUUAGGUGGAACACCAGUGGCGAAGGCGCCUAACUGGUCCGGUACUGACGCUGAGGAACGAAAGCGUGGGGAGCAAACAGGAUUAGAUACCCGUGUAGUC
rnacentral:rRNA from 1 species